rnacentral:rRNA from 1 species
GACGUAGGGGGCGAGCGUUGUCCGGAAUCACUGGGCGUAAAGCGCGUGUAGGCGGCCCGGUAAGUCCGCUGUGAAAGUCCAGGGCUCAACCCUGGGAUGCCGGUGGAUACUGUCGGGCUCGAGUCCGGAAGAGGCGAGUGGAAUUCCUGGUGUAGCGGUGAAAUGCGCAGAUAUCAGGAGGAACACCAAUGGCGAAGGCAGCUCGCUGGGACGUGACUGACGCUGAGACGCGAAAGCGUGGGGAGCAAACAGG